AAGGUCCGGCGUGGAGGCGGGACUAAGCGAGCGAGAGCGAGGGAGAAAGAGGUUGUUUACGCGCCGAUAUACUUGCAUGUGCUGCUGUCGGACAGCUUUUUGCAUGGCUGGUGCUUAGAUUGGCCUCUAGGUGAUCGCGGGCGUGGAUGGAGUUAUUCAUGGCCUGGGCGGAGGGUUGAAGCAUGCGUGGGUGAUGGGGGUUUGGAAGACCAUUGAGAUUGUACGCCGCACGUAUCUGGGUUGCCUGACUCACUCAUGACGGCGACCUUCGAAGCUGCGGCAAAAGCAAAGGUUAGGUAGCAUGCGACGUGCGAGACGGCUGCGUCAGUCCGACUGCGCACUACUUUGCUCCUCGACAUCAUCCUUCCAACCCGCCCUCAACGGGGCAGUUGUCUGGCCACACCAGCGCGCACCAUCUCGGCACCGCACCACACCAUACCCAAUCAGCAAUUCCACAGCACACACAGUGUCCCGCCAUGCAUGCCCACCACCGGCACCCAAGCCUCCCUCAAUCCCGUCAACCCCAAACGCCGAUCCCACGGCCCGGUCCCUCUUUCAUCACACCCCGCAGGGCGAGCUGUACAUCAUCGACGUGAGCCAGUCGGUGGACCUGGACCACCCCAAGGCGCUGGACUUCCUUCGCGAGGACUGCAAGCACGUCAACGACUACUUCCGGCGCGCGGGCGUUGCCACGCUCACGGUGCGCGAGACGUUUGACUUUGUUGUGGACCCCGCCAUCAACGACGACAACGUGGACGCCGCGCUGGAGCGGCUGAGCGACGUGGCGGCCAGGUGAGCAUGGCGGCGGCGGCGGCCAGGGCUGCGCGAGGCUGUGGACGUUGGAGUGGGGUUUGGAUGGGUGGGUGGAUAGGGUUGUAGGGGUCGAAGGGCUGCUCGGGAGGGGGAGCAGGACGUGUCAGCAGCACGGAUGCUGCUUGGCCGCAGCUGCAGCAUAGGCACUUGUGGGUGAUGGGGGCUUAGACGUGGGGCUUGUAGAAUCAGGUGAGAUUACGCCGCACGUAUCUGGGUUGCCUGACUCAAUCAUGACGGCGACCUUCGAAGCUGCGGCAAAAGCAAAGGUUAGGUAGCAUGCGACGUGCGAGACGGCUGCGUCAGUCCGACUGCGCACUACUUUGCUCCUCGACAUCUUAGUUUCCUCUGUGCCUCCCCACCGCGCACGCACUGCCAGAAGUCAUACACCUUUCUCCUCCAUCACUGAACCGCCAUCCCCGCACUCCAACUUUCGGUUUCUGACCCGCACCCCUCGCGCUACUUGCCGACU
rnacentral:lncRNA from 1 species